rnacentral:rRNA from 1 species
UAACCUUCGGGAGGGCGCUUGCCACGGUGUGGCCGAUGACUGGGGUGAAGUCGUAACAAGGUAGCCGUAUCGGAAGGUGCGGCUGGAUCACCUCCUUUU